rnacentral:rRNA from 1 species
UUUCCUACGGGACGCAGCAGUGAGGAAUAUUGGUCAAUGGUCGGGAGACUGAACCAGCCAAGCCGCGUGAGGGAUGAAGGUACAGAGUAUCGUAAACCUCUUUUGUCAGGGAACAAAGGCGGGGACGUGUCCCCGGAUGAGUGUACCUGAAGAAAAAGCAUCGGCUAACUCCGUGCCAGCAGCCGCGGUAAUACGGAGGAUGCGAGCGUUAUCCGGAUUUAUUGGGUUUAAAGGGUGCGCAGGCGGUCUGUUAAGUCAGCGGUCAAAGCCCGGGGCUCAACCCCGGCCCGCCGCUGCAACGUGCC